AAACUAGAUAGGAUAAUUCCUACCUGUUCCUCUAGUCAGAGGGCAAAUAGAACAAUGAUUGGCAUGCACAUAAUUUAUGAUUAACAUCUCUGUGUGAUUAGGGCUCAAAACACCCUAUCUGAUUAAAAACUAGAU